rnacentral:misc_RNA from 1 species
UUUUUUGUGUUUAUUUGAUGCGUUGGCGGGAUCCGUGGCUGCCAAACGGGUUGAUAAUCUGGGUGGGACCCUGAGAUGGCCAAUCCCGGAGUCGGCAACAAGUUUGUUUCUGUGAAUCUCAAUAAAUCCUAUGGUCAGCAGCAUUAUCAUCAGCAUCACCAUAAUAAUCAGCAUCAUUCAAGCUCAUAUGGUUCAAACCGCAACCGCCCUGGUGGAGGUGGAGGAGGGAUGUUGGUGCUUUCGCGGCCUCGUAGCUCGCAGAAGGCUGCUGGGCCGAAACUUUCUGUUCCACCCCCCUUAAAUCUGCCAUCGUUGCGGAAAGAGCAUGAGAGGUUUGAUUCGUUGGGAUCAGGUGGGGGUCCUGCUGGAGGUGGUAUGGGAAGUGGGCCUCGCCCUAGCUCUUCAGGUAUGGGCUGGACUAAGCCUGCCACAAUUGCCGUUCAGGAGAAAGAAGGAUUUGGUGUUGGUGGUGAUCAUACAGUUGAUGACACUUGUAAUAAUCAUGGUAUUGAUCAGGGAUUGCCUGGUGUUGUUAAUGGGGUCAGCAAGGGUAGUGGUAGUAGUGUGUAUACUCCUCCCUCUGCUCGGUCGGCGGUGCCUGCAGUUUCUGUUCCUUCCCAGGGUUACCCAGUGACAGAGAAAGUCACAGUUUUAAGGGGUGAGGAUUUCCCUUCAUUGCAGGCUACUUUGCCAGCCACUUCUGGGCCUGAAAAGAAACAGAAAGAUGGUUUGAAUCAGAAACAGAAGCAGUUAUUGGGUGAGGAAUUGGCUAAUGAGCGGAAUAGUUCCCAAUUGAGCACAGUUGUUGAAAUGCGUCCACAAUUGCAGUCAAGGAGUAACAUUAACAAUGGAUUGCAAGAGAGUGGUUCUGAAAUUCGUGGUUGGGAUGGUUCAGGCCUGCCUGAGAAGGACCGAAGGCGGCAAGACUACUUUUCAGGACCAUUGCCUUUAGUUCGGUUGAACCCAAGGUCAGAUUGGGCAGAUGAUGAGCGUGACACAGGACUUGGUUUGGCAGACCGGGGCAGGGAUCAUGGAUUUUCCAAGAGUGAAGCUCGAUGGGAUAUGGAUUUUGAUUUCCCAAGGCCAAGUAUUUUGCCACAGAAACCUGGACAUAAUCUCUUUGACAGGAGAGGACAACAUGACAAUGAAACUGGAAAGAUUUCUUCCAGUGAAGUCACUAAAGUGGAUACUUAUGGGC